CUAUUAUCAACAGUCCCCAGGUUACAGUCCAGAGUGUCUGUCUCUAUUAUCAACAGUCCCCAGGUUACAGUCCAGAGAGGCCGUCUCUAUUAUCAACAGUCCCCAGGUUACAGUCCAGAGUGGCCUUCUCUAUUAUCAACAGUCCCCAGGUUACAGUCCAGAGUGUCUGUCUCUAUUAUCAACAGUCCCCAGGUUACAGUCCAGAGUGUCCGUCUCUAUUAUCAACAGUCCCCAGGUUACAGUCCAUAGAGGCCGUCUCUAUUAUCAACAGUCCCCUGGUUACAGUCCAGAGUGUCCGUCUCUAUUAUCAACAGUC